rnacentral:tRNA from 1 species
GGAAAUAUAGCUCUAGUGGUAGAGCAAUAUCCGCAUAGGAUAUUGGUUAGGGGUUCGAUUCCCCUUAUUUCCUUA